rnacentral:rRNA from 1 species
UGGAGCCUGCGGUUUAAUCGGACUCAACGCCGGGAAACUCACCAGAUAAGACAGCUGAAUGAUAGUCGGGCUGAAGACUCUACUUGACUAGCUGAGAGGAGGUGCAUGGCCGUCGUCAGUUCGUACUGUGAAGCAUCCUGUUAAGUCAGGCAACGAGCGAGACCCACGCCAACAGUUGCCAGCUCGUCCUCCGGGAUGGUGGGGGACACUGUUGGGACCGCCUCUGCUAAAGAGGAGGAAGGAAUGGGCAACGGUAGGUCAGCAUGCCCCGAAUUAUCUGGGCUACACGCGGGCUACAAUGGGUGGGACAAUGGGUAUCGACACCGAAAGGUGAAGGCAAUCUCCUAAACCCAUCCGUAGUUCGGAUUGUGGGCUGCAACUCGCCCACAUGAAGCUGGAAUCUGUAGUAAUCGUGUCUCAAAAUGGCACGGUGAAUAUGUCCCUGCUCCUU